UUAAUAUCAGUUGUAAAGUUUAUAUUUACACUUAUUUCAUUCCAUAUGUUUUCCUCUUAAUUGUUCCCUCCCUCACGGUUUUUCUGAAAGACACAGGACAGUGAACCCAUCUGAGUUUGAAUUUCCAGAUCCUGGCUCCGAAGACGCUGGACUCGGAAUUUAACUGGUUCCCCAGCAAGGCCAGGAGGGAGUGCUCCCCACUGUAGGCCCCGCCCCAUGAGCACCAAGGGCUUCCGUGCCUGGGCGGGCUGGCAGGGGGUGGAGCGCCCGUCAUGCCCUGCGGCUUUGCACGGGGUGUUUCACCUGGCGUGAGAGGACGCAGUGCCGCCAUGUUAGCGUCGCCCCACAGGAGCUGCUUCUGUGCCGCCUGCCGGCCUGGCCUCAGACCACAGCGAGUGCGACCUCUUUGUCCUUACUCAGACGUGAGGCCCUGAGGAGAAUGUGCCAUCGCAGCGGAAAGUCCUCUGUGUCCUGCCUUCAGAGCCUCCAGCAUCAUUGCUGUAUGAGGUCUGCUACUUCACGGUCAGCGCAGGAAUUCCA